GAGAUAUUAAGAAGGUAGGAAUGAGCAUUAAGAAGGACUUCUUGAUUUUCAGGAUUUUCUAAUGGUCGAAGAUGAGAGCUAAAGAAAGCGCAAAGGAAGAGAGCCAAAUUUUGGAUAAAGUCUUGCUCGUUUGUGCUACUUUCUUCAUAAGCCUCACGAAAAUCAGUUUGUAAAGGAAGCAUAGAAUUAACAGAGGUCAUCACAAGG